AAGCCGAGGCUGGUGUGUGACUUCAGGGCCUUAAAUGCAGUGUCAGAACCAGUGGCCUUCCCUAUGCCCAGGAUUGACGACAUUUUGACAAGGGUGCGGAAGGGAAAGAUUUUCACAAAGCUGGACCUAAGGGGGGCGUACAACCUGAUACGAAUAAGGAAGGGUGAUGAAUGGAAAACCACCAUGUUCACCCCUUUAGGGGCAUUUGAAUAUUUGGUUAUGCCCUUCGGCCUCCAAGCAGGCUCCGCAUGCUUUCAAUCGUUUAUGAACCACGUCCUGGGGCCUUUGCUUUACAAGAAUUGUGUGGCCUUCUUAGACGACGUGUUGGUGUAUUCUGAGAAUGAGGAGCAGCAUGUGAGAGACGUCAGAGAAGUGUUGAGCAGGCUGCAAGCCAACCAGCUGUGGGUGAAACUGGAGAAGUGUCAGUUUCAUACCAAGGAGGUGGAAUUCCUGGGGUAUCGCCUGUCAGACAAGGGAUUGGCCAUGGAUCCCGGCAAGGUCCAGGCGGUGCUGGAAUGGAAAACACCCAAAACAAGGAAGGAUGUGCAGAGGUUCCUAGGAUUUGGGAACUUCUAUCGUAAGUUCAUCCGAAACUUUGCCCACCUGACGGCGCCCAUUACGGACUGUCUCAGCAGUAAGAAGAAGUUUGUUUGGACUGAGGAGGCGGAGCGAGCAUUUGAGGAACUAAAAAGGGCCUUCGCCUCGGAACAACAACUCCUGCAUGUGGAUUUACAAAAACCGAUGAGAGUGGAAACUGACGCAUCAGACAGAGCGAUUGGGGCGGUGCUUCUGCAGCCAGGGAAGGAGGAGUCAGAGUGGAGACCGUGUGCCUUUUUUUCGCGAAAGCUGAACAAAUCCGAGAGGAACUACACGGUGUAUGACCGAGAACUACUAGCCAUUCAUGAGGCGUUCCGGAGAUGGAGGCACCUGCUAAUUGGCGCACAACAUAAGGUGCAAGUGUGCACUGACCACAAGAACCUAGAGUAUUGGAGGACGGCACGAGUGCUCAACCAACGGCAAGUGAGAUGGGCCCAGGAGUUCUCCAAAUUUAACUUUGAGAUUUGUUACGUGCCAGGCCCAGAGAACAUUAGGGCGGACGCUCUCUCACGCAAACCUGAAUAUUUGGAAGGGGAGGGAGCACCCGAAGAGAGACAUGUCAUUCCAGAGGACCGCUGGGUGUGUGGGGCGGCAUUGGUGGGACAAAGAGAACUGGUAGAGGAAACAGAGAAUGAUGAAUACGCCCAGAAUAAGCUCAGAGGUCUUAGGGGUGAGGGAGAGGAACCAGGGGGUUUCGAGGAAAGAAAUGGAGCUUUGUAUUACAAAGGGGCACUGUAUAUCCCUGAAGGAGACUUAAGGGGGGAGGGUACUCAAGCAGUUGCACGACAACCCUACGGCGGGGCAUUUUGGACAACACAAAACCAUGUGGUUGGUCACCAGGGAAUUUUGGUGGCCCAAGGUGAGGGAAGAUGUACGUGAGUAUGUAAGAGGGUGCGAGCAAUGCCAGCGAGCCAAAGGGGAAAGGCGGGCACCGGCGGGGCUAUUAGAACCCUUACCAACCCCAGAACGACCUUGGGAGGCAGUGUCGAUAGAUUUUAUGACUGAUCUGCCGAAGUCCAAAGGGAAAACAGCCAUCAUGGUGGUGGUGGACCUACUAACAAAGAUGUGCCACUUUGUAGCUUGCUCGCAUGCAGUCACGGCGGAAGAGACAGCGAAGUUAUUUGUAGAACACAUUUUUAGGUUGCACGGGGUGCCAUCGAGGGUGGUCUCAGACCGAGGAAAACAAUUUACUUCCAGGUUCUGGAGGAAGCUCAUGAGCUUACUGCAGGUGGAGGUCAAUUUUUCGACUGCCCGGCACCCUGAAACCAACGGGCAGGCGGAAAGAGCAAACGGUGUCCUCCAGCAAUACCUGAGGUGUUAUGUCAAUGACAGAGAGAAUGACUGGGUAGAAAAGUUGGCGCUGGCGGAAUUUGCCUACAACAAUGCCGAGAAUGUGUCCACAGGGAUGAGCCCCUUCUUGGCUAAUUAUGGGUGUCAUCCCAGGGCUUUCCCAGGGGAGAUGGGGAGAGAUGGAGCGUCCCGGCAGCCGAGCAUUUUGUAGAAGAAAUGGAAGCAAUCCAUUGUCAGCUCCAACUCAACUUAGAAAGGGCGAAGGAAGAAUACAAGAGGCAAGCAGACAAGAACCGAAGGGAAGGUGAAACCAUAAGGGUGGGAGAUAGGGUGUGGCUGUCAACCCAAGGGUUGCCGUUCAAAGGAGGUUGUAAGAAAUUAAGACCCAGGAGGUUGGGUCCCUUUGAGGUCAUUCAACAGGUCAACCCAGUGGCUUUCAGGCUCCGGUUACCCAACCACAUGAAACUGCACCCAGUAUUUCACAGGUCGUUACUGUCACCGUACGAAGGGGGACGAGAAGGGAUGGCCACUCGGGGACCGGUCAUAGAAGAAAGAGAAUGCAGCAGCCAUGUGGCAGAAAUCCUCGACGCCAGGUGGAAGGGGAAUCAGGUGGAGUAUUUGGUAGCGUGGGAAGGAGAACCGGAGUCAGAAAACACUUGGGUAAUGGCCGAAGAUAUCAAUGACGAGGUAUUGAUAGAAACGUUCCAUCAAAGGUUCCCAAGGAAACCUCAGCCUGUGGAGAGGUUCCGGAGGGAAUACUUUGGGACCACUGAUGAGGAGGAGGAGUUGGAAGGCUUCCCGGACUCGGAAGGGGAAGGGGAGAUGGACUCUGAGGAGGAGGAGUACUUCGAGACCAGGAACCGCAACAGGUGGAGAGAAGUGUUCGAGACAUCGGAAGAUGAAGGAAGUUCAUUCCGGGUUUUGCCUCCUCACCGCCCGUAGAGGAGGGGGCGAGAGGGGGUGAAGGGGGCCCUGGAGGGGAGGUGGAUGUCAGGGAACUGCCAUCGGAAGGAAGGGAGGUGAAAGGGCUCACACAGGUUGGGAGAGACUCAGCAGCUGAAGAGGGAACCAGUAGGGGGAGAGGAGCUGAGCUGAGGGAAAGUGAGCUGGAGGGAUGGCUCAGAGACACUUCCAGCGAAAACAGUGGGGAGGUUUCAGGACCUCCUGUAGGGACACCCACUCCUCGCCGGAAACUGACACGCAGAGAGUCCAGAAGACGUGUUUCCGUUAAGGAGCUUUUAUGUUGGAAGCGAUUCCGAAAGCAACCACUGUCGGAAUCUGCUAGUGACUAGAGGAGCCAUGUCUGAGGGGCUCCGUCACAGACAGAGGUUUGUGGACUUGAACAAACUCUGAGGGGAUACGAUUUUACGCACAAGCAGCUCAUCAUCCCAUCACA